CGGCGUGCCUAAUACAUGCAAGUGGAACGCAUUGGUAACACCGGACUUGCUCCAGUGUUACUAAUGAGUCGCGAACGGGUGAGUAACGCGUAGGUAACCUGCCUGAUAGCGGGGGAUAACUAUUGGAAACGAUAGCUAAUACCGCAUAAGAGGAGUUAACUCAUGUUAACUGUUUAAAAGAAGCAAUGGCUUCACUAUCAGAUGGACCUGCGUUGUAUUAGCUAGUAGGUAGGGUAACGGCCUACCUAGGCAACGAUACAUAGCCGACCUGAGAGGGUGAACGGCCACACUGGGACUGAGACACGGCCCAGACUCCUACGGGAGGCAGCAGUAGGGAAUCUUCGGCAAUGGACGCAAGUCUGACCGAGCAACGCCGCGUGAGUGAAGACGGUUUUCGGAUCGUAAAGCUCUGUUGUAGGGGAAGAACGUGUGUAAGAGUGGAAAGCUUACACAGUGACGGUACCCUACCAGAAAGGGACGGCUAACUACGUGCCAGCAGCCGCGGUAAUACGUAGGUCCCGAGCGUUGUCCGGAUUUAUUGGGCGUAA
rnacentral:rRNA from 1 species